UUCCGGUUGAUCCUGCCGGAGGCCACUGCUAUGGGGGUCCGACUAAGCCAUGCGAGUCAUGGGGUCCCUUCGGGGACACCGGCGGACGGCUCAGUAACACGUCGGUAACCUACCCUCGGGAGGGGGAUAACCCCGGGAAACUGGGGCUAAUCCCCCAUAGGCCUGGGGUACUGGAAGGUCCCCAGGCCGAAAGGGGCUCUGCCCGCCCGAGGAUGGGCCGGCGGCCGAUUAGGUAGUUGGUGGGGUAACGGCCCACCAAGCCGAAGAUCGGUACGGGCCAUGAGAGUGGGAGCCCGGAGAUGGACACUGAGACACGGGUCCAGGCCCUACGGGGCGCAGCAGGCGCGAAACCUCCGCAAUGCGGGCAACCGCGACGGGGGGACCCCCAGUGCCGUGGCAAAGCCACGGCUUUUCCGGAGUGUAAAAAGCUCCGGGAAUAAGGGCUGGGCAAGGCCGGUGGCAGCCGCCGCGGUAAUACCGGCGGCCCAAGUGGUGGCCGCUAUUAUUGGGCCUAAAGCGUCCGUAGCCGGGCCCGUAAGUCCCUGGCGAAAUCCCACGGCUCAACCGUGGGGCUUGCUGGGGAUACUGCGGGCCUUGGGACCGGGAGAGGCGGGGGGUACCCCUGGGGUAGGGGUGAAAUCCUAUAAUCCCAGGGGGACCGCCAGUGGCGAAGGCGCCCCGCUGGAACGGGUCCGACGGUGAGGGACGAAGGCCAGGGGAGCGAACCGGAUUAGAUACCCGGGUAGUCCUGGCUGUAAAGGAUGCGGGCUAGGUGUCGGGCGAGCUUCGAGCUCGCCCGGUGCCGGAGGGAAGCCGUUAAGCCCGCCGCCUGGGGAGUACGGCCGCAAGGCUGAAACUUAAAGGAAUUGGCGGGGGAGCACUACAAGGGGUGGAGCGUGCGGUUUAAUUGGAUUCAACGCCGGA
rnacentral:rRNA from 1 species